UGGGAGAGGGGGAGGGACAGCUGACUCGGCAGAACCCAAGGCUUCAUUUACCCGGAAGAAUUCUGAGUCAAUGCUGGUCAACUGCACCCUGGCGGUACUCUAGAUCCAAGAGAAUGUUACUGAUUGGGAAGUUUUAUUCAUGUUAUUUUCUGAGAGCUGUUUUUUCUCACUCUACUAAAAAACAAACAAACAAACAAACAAACAAACAAACCAAUGGUUUUCUCCCCAAACACUGAAGUAGGCCAUAGGAGCCAGAUGGAAAACCUUGACAGAUCAGAGGGCUUCUUUUUUUUUUUCUUUUUCUGUUUAGCUUUUAAAAAUCCUUGUGCAUAUAUAUGCAUUCAAAUAGCCAUGUGUUUGUAGGCUGAAGGUGAAACGGUUAUCUCAUACUAUGUAUAAAAAAUGUUGUAGACAUGCACAGUACAAGAUAGACAAUAUUUCAAAUUUCAGUGAUACUGCCAACCAAAGCAUGGACAUUUGUAGGGUAGCCCAGCUGAGCACAGGAGUUUCCUUGGCAAGUGUAGCCAAGAGGGUCUUUUAUCCAGGAAGAAACACAUGUUAUAACUGAGGGUGGGGCACUCUGAAAGAUGGUUUUAACUGCGAACAUCCCCCUGGGCCAGACUACAUUCAUACUUCCUAUGUUUCUAACCCAGAUUGCGUCUGGAAGGCAGUUUCACCUGGAAACCCAUUAACUGCCAUUAAGUCUAGCUGCUGUCUCUGAGGGUGUCCCUCACCCAUGUUGUCUCCGAAGGUGUCCCUCACCCCUGCCCAACAGAGGAGGAGGCAGACAAGGCAAAACAACACUUCAAAACGGCUCACUUCAAAAUGAUUCUUUGAAAGAAUGAACGAGUGUGCUGGGGUUUGUGACGAGAGAACUAGCUGGUGGCUGCUGGUUUGGUUUGUUUGAUUAAGACGGAGGAUUUGGCUGGGUCACUAGGCAACCGUGCAAAGACGGGCAGAGCAGAGCUCUUCAUUCUCUCUCUCUCUCUCUCUCUCUCUCUCUCUCUAAAUAACUCUAUUUUUCCCUAAUUCAGGUGAUGGACGGGCUCUGGAGUCAGACGCCUUAAAAGCCUCUGACUGUUAAAGAAGCUUACCACCUCUGAAUGGCUCUCAACACCCAGGGGCAUCGAAGCAAACCCAGCCAGAGUUUCUCUACACUGACGAAAUGCGUAAACAAUUGCCUGGAAUCAUCAUGACUAUCGGUGACCAGUUCACAGCCCCAAGAAGAGCAGCUUAGGGCUUUUGGCGCAGGAUACGAUGCUUUCUGCAGUGAGGCUGACAGUGGUCUACAGAGGUUUUUGUUCUUCGGAUGUUUCUGCCUACGCGGAAUGUAGUGGAAGCUUACCUUGUCUAGACCUUGGGUGACUGUAGGGUGACAUGUACUGGUCUCGCCCGACAGCACCUCCCACAGAAGCUGUCAUCGGAGAGGAAGCUGGUAGCCUUCCACACACUUACCUCCCCUGCAGAGACACCAUGGGGAUUCCCUGGCACGGCAGGAGCCUCUGUGGCCUGUUCUGGGUCUUCCGAGCCUUUCGCUUCUUUGGGCUGGCUGUUCACCGGCGCGCUUUCUCUUCCUUUGUCCAGUUUAAAGAAUCUGUUCAAAAAGCCGAAAUCCUUGUCCUGGGCCGGGGCUUCUGCCUGGGACUCAGGUGGUGAGGGUGCCAAUGGGCCGGUGGCAGGGAGGGUCUGCUGCUUGGCCUCGGGGCACCCUGGGGUUUUAUCUGGAGCCUGCCCUGGUGCAGCUGCCACCGGAAGUGCCCCGUGCUCACUUGGGUCUUUGUUCUCAGGCGCUGCGCUUGGGCUGACAUCAAACCUCCCUGAUGCAGCCGAUGAAUCCGUGCCUUGGUCCCCGGGACGUCCUGGUACAGGCCGAGAGAGUGUCAAGAAAAAAUGGGAUCUAGCAGCUGGUGCCUUGGUCUUGGCUUCUUUCCCAAGAUUCUUUCCGCUGGCAUCGCCCACAGCCUGGGCCUCCAUUGUCUUGGGGGAAGAAGUAGCCACAUUAUCCUUGGAGCUGCUGAUUCCCAAGUCGACUGUAAACACAAACAUAAACAGAGGUCAUUCAACAAGCCAGGAAAUUCAAGGGUGAAUAAUGGACUCCAACUUUUGAUACACAACGUCCCUUCUGCAGACUGGGGCGGCCUUGUUCCCUGCUGUCAGCCCAGUAGACACCUCCUGACCCUGCUCUUCCUGGAAGAGAGACCCUCUGAGGCUGAUGAGGCAGAAAAGCCAAGGACUGGGAAGUCACUACCAGGCACCACGGAUUCACACGGGAGGGGAAAGAAGCAAGCAGACCAGGCACCAAAGGAGCAAGCAAUGCACAUCCUUGGCUUGUCAGAGAGAACAGAAAUGGACUGUGGGUGUGGUCCAGGACAGAGGGAGAGGAAGAGGCUGGGACUGAAAAGAGGGAGAGGCCUUUGCAACCCCCUGGGAGCAUCGAUUGGUUUCCCCCUUUACCACCUGGCUGGAUACCAAAGGAGCAAAAAGGUCUUUACAGCCAGAGGAAAACAAGACACUUUCCACGGGGAAAAGUGCCAGGAUUUUGCUUUGAAAAGGCUCCAUAUCCAUUAUGACCUAACACAAGGUAUAAAGCUGAAGCAGAAAGAAGUGAUAUGCUUGUUGUCAGAGAUCAGGUAAAGCCGCUCAAUGACUUGUAAGAACUCCAAGUUUGGAAUGGGCCCCCUUCUGGUCAGCUGAUGCUCACGCUGGAAGCUGGGUGGUUGUUAGGGUCAGAGCUUGGGCUCUGGGAAGCAGGACAAGCUUGGUUUGGCCAACCCUCCUCAACAGCUGGACUAAAAGACAUUAGAGAGUGGAGAGCAGACACAGGAGAUUUAGUCAACAGAGUCACACUGGGGAGUGCGGCUCACCUGUCCCCAGCCCACCCUCAGGGUCCACCCUCUUCACUAGUGUCUAUUGUAUGAAAUUGGCACCCCCCUCAUGUUCAUAGUGCUUAUAUCUUCUUGGUGAGUUAGUUUCUUUAUUACUAUGUAGUGGUCUUUUAAAUCUCUUCUGACUAUUUUUGGUUCAAAGUAGACUUUAACAGAGACCAGGUUAUCUAUGUAGUUUGUUCUCCUUGUCCCUAUUUGCUGUAUAAAUUGUUUUUUAUCCUUG